CAGCUGUUCAGGAUUCCUCGGAGCCAAGUCUCGUGGCUUCUUGGAGGAUACCUAUUUGUGGGAAGAUGACGAUGAUAGGUAUUCUGUUGAGAAAAUUCCACUGUACGAUUCUGCAGAGGAUGAGCCUUUCGUUAAGCCCCACACAGCAUUGAAUAACACAUAUUCUGAGUUUGAGGGUUAUCUGAAAAAUGAGAACCCAAUGAUCAUG
rnacentral:misc_RNA from 1 species